UGGGGAAUUUUGGACAAUGGGCGAAAGCCUGAUCCAGCAAUGCCGCGUGUGUGAAGAAGGCCUUCGGGUUGUAAAGCACUUUUGUCCGGAAAGAAAUCCUUGGCUCUAAUACAGUCGGGGGAUGACGGUACCGGAAGAAUAAGCACCGGCUAACUACGUGCCAGCAGCCGCGGUAAUACGUAGGGUGCAAGCGUUAGUCGGAAUUACUGGGCGUAAAGCGUGCGCAGGCGGUUUGCUAAGACCGAUGUGAAAUCCCCGGGCUCAACCUGGGAACUGCAUUGGUGACUGGCAGGCUAGAGUAUGGCAGAGGGGGGUAGAAUUCCACGUGUAGCAGUGAAAUGCGUAGAGAUGUGGAGGAAUACCGAUGGCGAAGGCAGCCCCCUGGGCCAAUACUGACGCUCAUGCACGAAAGCGUGGGGAGCAAACAGGACUAGAUACCCUGGUAGUCUACGCCCUAAACGAUGUCAACUAGUUGUUGGGGAUUCAUUCCUUAGUAACGUAGCUAACGCGUGAAGUUGACCGCCUGGGGGAGUACGGUCGCAAGAUUAAAACUCAAA
rnacentral:rRNA from 1 species